rnacentral:lncRNA from 13 species
CACUAAGGCACAAGCGCACACAUUAGCCCACAGCUUACACAGGUCAGGGUGGUCAGUAUCUUCACCUCCACUUACUGUUCCGCUGGUAGGUCUUCGGGGCGGUGACACGCGUGGAGAUGUCAUCUCUGAGGAUAAGAAGGUCUUCUUCUGGAACACCUCCUGGAGGACCUGCCUGAGGCUGCUUCAUAGUUUCUGGAGUAUCAGCUAGCUGCUAAGGAAGAAUCAAACUCCUUUCCUGUGAAAGAGCGGAAUGUUCAUGGAAAGAAAAACGUCAAGGGUUCCCUGUCUGGACCUCUCUCCAAUUCCACCAGCUUCUGUGUUGAGAAAGGCCAGCCUCAGACCUGCUCCUCCUCACUCUCCUCUGUCACAGUUGUUUACUGGACUGUUUGGUUUGACUUCCUGUGGACAGUGUCCACAGCACCAGCAGUUUCCACGAUGCAGGUCACAUUACUGCGUCACCUGUCAGUUUCCAACAGGAUUCCAGGGUAACAAAGGAAUGCUGAGUCAGGCCAACCCCAGGGGCAUGAUUCUGCCUCCUCCAGCUCUGACCUGAAGAG